GGCCCUCUAAACCGAACUCUAGAUUAUCUAUCUCCACGAGACAAGGAUGGACAUGGAACUCAUACAUCCUCAACAGCAGGAGGCCGAAAGGUUCCAAAUGUCUCUGCCAUUGGUGGCUUUGCAUCUGGCACUGCCUCAGGUGGCGCACCACUCGCACGGCUAGCAAUGUACAAAGUCUGCUGGGCUAUUCCGAAAGAGGGGAAAGAAGAUGGAAACACUUGCUUUGAUGAAGACAUGUUAGCAGCAAUCGCCUCGGGUGGCGCACCACUCGCACGGCUAGCAAUGUACAAAGUCUGCUGGGCUAUUCCGAAAGAGG
rnacentral:lncRNA from 1 species